GGUGAGUCCCUUAUAAGAUCUUCCUUUCUUCUCUUUUCUUCUAUUAGUUAGCUUGGAUUGAGAGAAAGCUCCGCCCAAUAGCGCUUAGCCACCCAUGUGUGUGUAGACCGAAAUGGUCUCGCGAAGCCGGUCAACGGUAGCCUACCUAAGAGCAAGUCAAAACUACGAGAAGGGCGCGAGAAGUUUUGUGAAGGUAGAGAGAGAUUUUCAAAUCAGACUUCAAGUUGGUGUGCCGCGUGUUAAGAAGGCAGAGACCGCCCCAGGCUUCGCCCUAAUUCCCAUCUAAGGUUGAAUAAGAUUAGAUUAGUCUCGCAAAAUUCGUUCUCGAAUGAUUCAUCGAUGGAAUUAGGCCUAGUUGUAUGAAAAUUUCUUGUGAUUCCCCUCUUUCUUCGACGAAGGCAUACACGCAUCGAUAGGGAACCCAAAGAAGGGCUAGAAAAAGGAAAGCGGCACCUUAACUUAAUAGCUCCAUUUCUUGUUCCUGAGCGGAAGGUACGCUCAGCCCCUGAUACAUCGCUAUUUCUUAAUCCUUGCGUCCAGGGAUAAUGAGUCGGUUGGCUCUUAGAGUAUAGCCUCUCUCGGGGUUAGCGAUAAGAGUACACCGGCCCGUGUGGUAGCGGGCGAACUAAGGAUUUCGUGCUUGCAAGGAAGCGUGCAAGUGGGUGAACGCAUCACCAGCCAAGCUAGUCACUUGGAACAUAGGGGUAUUCAAUCCCCGAGCUUCCGGGCCUUGAGAACCGACUUCGGAUUUGCCCCUUAGAUAGUGAGUAGCAAAGAAGGGUAGGGUUUCAAGUUUAGGGUUUUCACUUCCACGUCCCAGCUCGUCGAAGCUACCGCCUAUCGAUUGAAAUUUCCCUCCUCAGCCGGAGGCGGAACCGGCUCCCCCUGAACCAUCCUCGGAAGAGUAAGGAAGGAGAAGGGAACGGGAGUUUCUCGCCUCCUAAGAGUAUAAAGAGGCGGAGUGUCACCCCAACAAACUAGACGCACGCAUCAAGGCGUUCUGCCAACGAGCGAAGGCGAUCGCUCAAGAAAGGGGAUUCAGCCCCGGCAAAUGCGAUGCAGUGAAAGACGCUGCGGACUAUGUGGCCGGUAACGUAAAAGAUAUGCCGGCAGCUAGCCAACUCCGCUUUCUAACGAGGUUAAGGCGUGACCUAGAAAACGGAAACAGCGAGACCUGGGGUGGGGUCUCAUCGAACGGGAAGUUCGAAGAUGGAGACCCGGUUCGGCACGAAAUAAGAAAGGUUUGGGGGCCCGUUGGUCAAAGGAAAGGGAAGGUCCUGCUUCCGGGACGGAGCCGUAUGACGCGAGAGUGUCACGUACGGUUCCUUUGAGAAGGGUGUGAUACCACCACCUAUCAGGCCCGACGAGCGGUCCACGGAGCUGCAUCCCUACUCACCUGGUCUAUGCACAUCGCUCUCUCCAGGAGGUUGGCCGCCUAUCCUAGAUCUUCCCAUUUCCAAGAAGAUCCCGGGCUCGAUCUGGUUUAGUAUCAAGGUGAUUCUUUUUCUGUUCCUAUAUAUAUGGGUCCGUGCAGCAUUUCCACGAUAUCGUUAUGAUCAAUUAAUGGGACUUGGCCGGAAAGUGUUCUUGCCUCUAUCAUUAGCUCGGGUAGUCCCCGUUUCUGGUGUUUUAGUCACCUUUCAAUGGCUCCCUUAAUUAUGUGCGAGGAAUUGCCCUAUUGAGUAAUGGUGGGAAGCGGGCUAGCCCCCGAAAAUGCCCCGCCCGUAAGUUCCUUUGUCGUUGGGGAAAAAAAAGAAAGAGAUUUAAAAAAGAAAAGAAAUUGCGUAAAUUCUGCCUUUUUUGAUCCCAUGCUUUCCGUUGGUCAACAACCAACUAAAUCUAUACCUCUUCACUACUCGUACAGGUUUGACGGAGUGAAGCUGUAUUGAGGGAAUCUUUUUGUCUCAAUCAAUCAAGAAUGCCCAAUAAAAGUAAAAGACCCUUCUCUUCUAUUUUUAAAGGAAGACUGUCUACUAUUUAUGAAGAUUUCGCCGCCAGUCCUUCUCAAUCGACCGAACCUUUUAACUACACGACUUUUAUUGAGAGUUGUGGGACCAAGGGCUUUCCAGUCCUUAAACCUCGCCCAGUUAUCGAGAAGAUAGAGGAGAAAUUAGGAGAGCCUAUUGUUAUCGAGACUGCCAAAAGAGGUUUCCCUGUACGAGGCCGUUACGAGAGGGAGAGCGACUAUAUACUACGCGCAUUGAAAUAUUAUUACAGUAUAGGGGGACGGGCGGAGGAUAUCUUUAAAAAGCCAAAGAAAGACGCGCGUACAGACGACCCCGACCAAACUGAACAAUUAGAAAUAAGUGACCAAACUGAACAAUUAGAUCUAAGUGGCCCACCUGAACAAGUGGAUCUAGUGAAAGAUCUCGUCUCCAGCCCACCUGAACAAUUAGAAAUAAGUGGCCCAUUUUCACAAUUAGAAAUAAGUGGCCCACCUGAACAAUUUGAGAUUGUGCCAUUGAUGGAUUUUCCUAUUGGAAACUUCUAUUUUUCAUUCACAAAUCCAUCUUUUUUUAUGCUACUAACUCUCAGUUUGGUCCUACUUUUCUUUUAUUUUGUUACUAAAAAAAUGAAAAAGAAUAUUUCUUCCAUAUCCAUAAUUAAUGGAUAUUUCAAGUAGAAGAGCUCACCUAUUGUUUCACAUUUGAAUUUCUCUUACAUUCUACGUUCCCGAAAUGGAUCCUAUCAAAUAUUUCACAUUUUCUAUGAUUAUCUCUAUUUCAGGUAUUCGGGGAAUCCUCCUUAAUAGACGAAAUAUUCCUAUUAUGUCAAUGCCAAUUGAAUCAAUGUUAUUAGCUGUGAAUUCGAACUUUUUGGUAUUUUCUGUUUCUUCGGAUGAUAUGAUGGGUCAAUCAUUUGCUUCAUUGGUUCCAACGGUGGCAGCUGCGGAAUCUGCUAUUGGGUUAGCUAUUUUCGUUAUUACUUUCCGAGUCCGAGGGACUAUUGCUGUAGAAUCUAUUAAUAGCAUUCAAGGUUAAAGAUGACUCCUAGAGAGUUACCAAAAUACGAAGUUCUCUUCUCCUUUCUUUCUCUUCUUUCUUUUUGAUACUUGGUUGGCAGGGUCAGGGCCUUUCUCGCUGGGCGAGCGCAUCCGAUUCUAAAGUCCUUUCUUAUUCUUAAACCACUUCCCGUUCAGUUGCUGAAAGAUAGAGAUCAGGCUUUCUAAAUGAGAUUGAGUUCCACGAAUAUGCAGGCUAGAAAGAUGCUAUUUGCUGCUAUUCUAUCUAUUUGUGCAUCAAGUUCGAAGAAGAUCUCAAUUUAUAAUGAAGAAAUGAUAGUAGCUCUAUGUUUUAUAGGCUUUAUCAUAUUCAGUCGGAAGAGUUUAGGUAAUACUUUCAAAGUGACUCUCGACGGGAGAAUCCAGGCUAUUCAGGAAGAAUCGCAGCAAUUCCCCAAUCCUAACGAAGUAGUUCCUCCGGAAUCCAAUGAACAACAACGAUUACUUAGGAUCAGCUUGCGAAUUUGUGGCACCGUAGUAGAAUCAUUACCAAUGGCACGCUGUGCGCCUAAGUGCGAAAAGACAGUGCAAGCUUUGUUAUGCCGAAACCUAAAUGUUAAGUCAGCAACACUUCCAAAUGCCACUUCUUCCCGUCGCAUCCGUCUUCAGGACGAUAUAGCCAUAAAGAUGCACGUCUUAGUGGGGAAAAGAUUUUGCCCCCGGUGUAGCUCGAAAGCAGAAAGAGUAGAAUUCAUUCGAGAGAGCUUGGUGGUCUUAAGAAUGGUUCGGGUGGGGGAUUCUCUUAAGAAUAAAGAAUUAGAAUAGAAUCUAAUUCAUGUUCAUGUUAACAGAAGAGCGGAUCCAAUACCAAGACGCUUGAGAGAAAGGGCUAGCCUUGUAUAUACGCUAUUUCUGUUUAUGUCAGAGGUGCCCAAAGCUAGAAGCAAGAUUUCGAGUAGAAUAUUCAAAGCUUUUGAGUAAGUAAGAUGGAUGGAUUUGGAAGCAAGUGAAAGAACUAGUUGCAUAGAUAUAGAUAUAGAGAAAGUCCUUUCUCUGAAGACGGUGAUAUUAGGGUUUUGAGAUCGGUUCUGACGUCGAACAGGUUUUCGACCCGAAAGGCUCCACAGAGCUGUCGUAUGCGGGUACUACGAGGCCCACGACUUUCUUGAUCGCCUCAUUCGGGUUAAGAUGUGGCUAAAGUCUCUCCGAGGGUAGCGUAUAUUACGCUCGAGGUCUCUCGAGCCUCCUGUUGUACCAAUGUCUCCGUUUUAGGGUUUAAGGAAUAAGGUAAUGAAAUUCCGGUAUGGACUUUUGUUGUUGUUACGACAGGCGGAGAGCAGUGCCCUAUUGGUCUAAUUCCUGCUUCCCCUUGGUAUCGGUAAAGGGGCUGGUAAGCGCUUCCCGAAUAGAUUCCUUUCUCUUCCCCGGACACCGAACAAAGGGAACCCUGGCUUCACUUGUCGUAGUAAGACCCCCCUCUAUAAGCUUUCCCUAUCACUCUGAUGAACCUCUUUCCGCCUGUUCUCUAGAGUUCAAGAACAGAUUCUUGCCUAUCCCUUAUUUGUCCAUUAAGUCCGUUUUCCGCUAAAGGCAGCAUUCAAAGCACCUAUAUUGUAAUACGUAAGAGGAAGGACGACUAAGCAACUAUGCUACUAUUGGCACCCCAAACUAAAAACUACAACUGGAAAUCCAACUUUAGGUGGUCAUUAUGAUCAGAAACUCACUCUCUGGAGAAUUUUAUUGACCUCGCAUAUAACAUGGGGAAUCUGGUUAGCACCCAUAUUUAAGAAUAAAAGAACAAAGACUUGACUGGACGGUAUUCACGAGCAGAUGACAAGCAUGAGUGAAGAAGGGUCUUAUGUUACCAUUUUUGGUGGUAAAGAAGAUGUUCUUGUUCUUCCAUUCCCCAAACCCACUUCAGCUUUCAAGAUUGGGUUGGUGUUCCGAUAGGCGAGAGGUGUGAAGCCAGAUCGUACUAAAGACAAUGAAAAAAUUUGGAAAAUGAUAGAUUUCCAAAAAAUAAGUAAAAGCAGAAUGAAAGACAGUCCUAUAUUGACAAGGACGAGCUUUUUCACGAAGAAAGCUUCGCGCCCAACUGCUUGUAUAUCGAUCGGAAAGAAGCAGCUGCAAAUGCUAUCAGUGGUUCUUCCUUCCUAUCCCAUCUAUCUAUAAGAGUUGCUUGAUUCGCCCCCAUCUUUAAUAGGACUGGACUAAGUUCGGGCAGAUCUCCGUCCCAUUUCACGGAUGCAUCGCAUUGAGAAUUGACUCGUCGGAUUAACCACUUAGACGGAGAGUCCCCCGUAUUCCAUUUCAUUGGCAACUGAAAUAGAUCUAAACGGAUUGCGCGGUACCCCGGACCGAAGAAAUUUCCAAAUGAAUUGAAAAGAAUAUCAAUAUAAGGCCCAGAUGUAACCUGUGCGGAGCAAGCCUACACUGGCCUGCAACUGCUUUCUCAUUGGCUCCAUUAGGGUUCGUAGUCUCAUCCUGAAAAGGUUUUUUUCUUUCUCCGGAUAUACUCUCAACUUUCCCUGCUAUCCUAUCAACAGGUCAGUCAAUAUCAGUAGUGGAGGAAGAAGAGUAGUACCCUUUUUUCAGUUAGUCUUAAUAGUUUAAUAAUUCAACUAGUGGUCUUCUUGCCUAAAAAAAGGAGUCAGCCCAACAUGGGCAAUGAUAGACAGACCAAAGAUUUACGCAGUCCUUGUGUGCUUGCUUUGUGCACCGGCACAGCAGAAUUCGAAGCUGCUCGGCGUACUAGCCCUAUAACGGAGUCAGACCCAACCAAACUCUCUUAGUAUAAAGCGGAGCAGGACCGUUGGCCUGAUCUGACUCCCCACCCAACCGCCCUGGCGUAUGUUUCCGAAUCAACUGCAUCGUAAGCUGCUAUAGCUCUUGCCAACUACCCUGGAAAUGAAAAAGAAACUCUAUCCUCAACCCUUCCAAUCCUUAGUUCAUGGUGGCAACUUCACCCCGUGCAUCCUUUGGUUGUGAGCCCCGCCUAGAGGGAGGCGCUAAGGGAAGGGCGUAGCGUUAAAUCUGCCUCGCCUUUCAGAGGUUUGGAACCCUUCUGUUGAGCACCAAUUGGAAAUCCAAUCUGACUUCUAAAACGGAAGUGAGCACAGGUGAGAGGACCCCACUUUCCCGCAUCCCUCUCCCCACGAGCAGAACACCUGAGAUGCACAGCACGUGGGCCUUGUCUAACGAACGACGACUUUCGAUUCUUCACUUCAAGGAGUAGAGUCGCUGCCCAACCCUACCUAUAUAAAAGAAAAAGAAUCGAUCACUAGGGGUCCCGAGCAAUUCUACCUUCUUUCCAUUAUCCAACGCUCAUGCGUCCCCUUUCUCCCACUCUUUUAAAGCUUUCAAUAAAGCCUUCUUAGCUGUGGAAGCAGCAACCGGUCUGUUGGAAAGUUCCUGCAUAAGUUGUCGGAUCCUCAAAAAAAAGCUUUUCUGGGGACGCGCUGUUCAAGUCGAGUUUCCUUAUUGUCCCUUCCAAGACAUCCCUUCUAACUUCCCUAUUUCCAAAGGAAGAAAGAAAGGUCGAAAGCUCUCUUUCGAGAGCCUCUUUUGUUGGGCUCGGCGGCCCCAAUCGCAAGGCUAGAUCCAGAUCCCCCAUAGCCUGUUCAGCAUGAGGAAUGGCUGGCGGAGCAUCAGGAUUUCCUUGAUCCAUUCUCAAGAUCUCAGGCCCCCCUACCAACUCGCUCCCGGUGACAUUAGGCACUACCUCAUUUGGGCUGGAAAUAAUAUAACUGUCCAUAAAACAAAUCAUUGCUGUGUUUUCGGUCUCGUUGAAGAAAAUGCAAACGAAAUGACUUACUAGCCACAGUAUAUCCCCGACACAACCUACAUUCACAAACGAUAGUUGUUUAGAAAUUGAAAAAAAAAAAAUUGAGACUCUAUUUUUUUUUUACGUAUUAUGUGAUGUUUUGGGAUUCUUAUAGUUUCUAUUAUAUAAUAAUUGGGAUCAUAGAGAAAAGAAAAUGACAAAACAAAAAGGACAAAGGAAAAAGAAUCGAAUCUCACUCAUUUUCAGGUAAGAUUUACUUAGCUCGCUCCUUGCUCGCGGACGCGGAGCGGCAUACCAAUAAAAAGAAAAGCGUUAUCGGAUUGGAAUCGAUGACUUAAGCCUCUUUCUUAAGGGCCUUUAAAGACCGGCCAUUAUCGGACUCUUCUUAUGCUUUUUUUUUUUCACCGGGCUUGGAUCGAGGAAAGCAGGCUUGACAGGCCCGAGUCUUCAUUUGUAGGACUUUGUGGGAUGGGCCCGUGCAUGUAGGCUUGGGUCUUCUUAACGUGCGUCAUUUGACGACUCAGUGCAUGGAUGUCAUGAGUCCAUUGGCAUAGGCUUAGGCCAUUUUUGUAAGUGGGCAGUCUUUGGCAGGCCUGGAGAUUCAAUUAAGGGGAGCAGUCUAAUAAAUCGACUGUUGGUGGCAUCACGCUAUCGUAGAUUAGGGAUGAUAAUUCAAUAUAUCGGAAAGACGCUAGGCAAAAAGGUUAGUAAGAAUAGGAAUUGUUAGAUUUCCUGUAUCGGAGAGAGAAGCUGAGUCGGGAUGAGGGAAUUGUUUCUAUGCUUUUCUCAGAUAAUGCGGGUUAAGAGUGAAGCUAUCGCGCCUAAGGCGAAAGGCUCUGUUCGGCUCGAUAGGUGGCAGGCUCAGAACAAGAGGAUAAAGACAAGGGGGAAGUUUAGUUAUUAAGUUCCUUUAUUAAGGUAAGGAUAAGAUAAAGAGAGGAAAUAUAUAUAUAUAUAUAACUAUUAUUUUGUUAGACUAGUGAACAAUAGCUAAAGAAAGUGAAAGAAGUAGAAUCAAGCCAUUCAUCUGAAAAAAGCUUUUUGCUUUAUUUAAAACUUCUCGAACUAGAAAGAGAAGCCCUUUUCAGCAGGCUUCCAGGUUCGCAACUAUACUCGUCUCUUACUUUCCCAGCGGAAAGCCAGAUAGAACUUUGACUAGAGCAAAAACCCGGAGCUUGACUUUAACUGGAAGAGCAGAGCAUAAAGCGCCUACUUGACGAGCAGGAGCAGCGAAUAAAGACAGACUUCCACACGGGAGGAAGUUCUGUUCUCUUUAUGAGAAAGGCAGAUACAAAUGUUGAAAGAACUUUCAUUUAACUAAGCUUUCUUACUUUCAACUUUCAGUACAGGUCUCUCCUCUAUCUAGUAAUCUCGGACGCUGUUGGUGCUUUAUGUUGUCCGUGGGAAGGCAGUGGAAGAGAAAGAAAGUAGCUGCGAUUGCUUGAAAAAAAUCAGUUGAAUCAUCAGGUGGGAUAAAAAAAGGAAAGAGUGUACCUGCGCCGCUCGAUGAUCGGAUGCGCAAUCUUCCAGCUUCAGGGGCUUGAUCAGGAUUCGAGGAUCCUCCUUGGUUUGGUCCUUCUUUCACUAAUGGUCUCACCAUUUUCUAGUAGUAGUAGUUCGCGCGAGGGACUUUUCUAUCGCUUGCCCUUCCACACCACAUUAAUUAGGUUAGGUGGGUGUUGUUAUUUUAUUGAUCCCCAAAUUUUCGACCAGAGCACCGUUGUCUGCGAGAAAAAUUUCCCAUUCUUCUCGAAAUUGAAAAAAAAAAAUAGGGUCCAGACCCACAAAUGAAUAGGAAGCGAGGCGAGGGUCCUUCAUUAAAGGGGGGAAAAGAGGGGUGGGCUUUGUUCUGGGGGGGCCGCCUUGCGCAGCUUUAGAAAGGAGAGAAUGACUUUCUGAAAUUCUCUCCAACCCUUUCUAUCUAUCUUUAGAAGUAGGGCGAGAGAAAGUCAAUAUGAUAUUUGCGUUGGUUUUUCCAACGAAACUAAGCACUUUUCUUCUUUCUCAUUCGGAAGGCUCAGUCCCACACCCUGACUUCAAUGAUGGGAACAACCUCCGCACUCCGGCGCUCCACUGAACAACAGUUCUCCGCCUUACUAUAUUUAGAAUAGUGGUCGAUCCUUCGGGAGUUACAUUCGUAACAACAUUACAUGUUAUGUUCACGCGGAUGGAGAGGGAUUCGAACCCCCGGUAUUUCUAAAAAUACUUCGGUUUUCAAGACCGACUCUUUCAACCGCUCAGACAUCCAUCCCCUUCGCGCUUCGCCCGCCCUAUCCAUCCGCGCGCUGGCAGGUAGGGGCUUAUCUAUGUGAUUCGCUACGCUUGCCUGCGCCUAUCGGCUGAUUCUAUUGCCUGCCGGUUAGCGAAACUUUUCCGGUAGUACGAAUCGCUACGCUUCGCCUCUUUCUAUAUGAUAAUAUGCAUCUUGGUUGCUGCGCUCCCUGCGGGUAAUAGCAAGAGAGUGAAUAACGAAUGAUCCUCCAAACUCAAAGAGUGAUUGAGUCCGACUCAAGCGAGUGAGUGAAAGGCGUGGCAAGAGAGCGAGUUCGACUCGCGAACGAUCAGCAAGUGAAGGACCGAUCCUUUUUUUUGCGCCAAUACUGUUGCGAGACUGGUACUUGGCGGCUCACGAGCAACAUAUAGACUAAGGUUGCCCAUCACCCCCUCGCUCUUUUUUGAAGGCCCUUUCAAUUCUCUUUCUAGUAUGCUUCCUCCAUAAGAACACUGAACGCCCAGCUUCGCAGAGCAGCUCUCUCCCCAGCCCACAGCAUAGUGUGGAAUCUGGAUCCUUUCAUCGAGCACCAUUUCUUUUAGAUAGAAGGGUGUUCUGACUCUAUUGGAUCAAGUCAUAACCUAAGCCUUCUACUAGUAGACUACUAUGGAGAGACUAAGCUCUAUUUCAGAGAUUGGACUCUCUUACUGUGAUUAGCUCCUACUAGUAAGAAGCUGUUCCCGAGCCAGGUUCCCUGGAUCCACGUGUUCCUAGCCGGGCCUAAAUGGAUGAAUGAAGAAGCGCGCCCGGGUAGACUUCAAGAGCUCUUGCUCUGCCUAUCCUCCUACUUCUUGGGGGUCAUAGAAAGAUACGAACCGCCUACUCUUUAAAGGGUUGGUGUGGCAUUAGAUUGUUGAAAAUGAAAGCGGCUUGUCCUCACUAAUAAAAAACAGCAAUCCCUCCCCUUCUGUUACCUACUUUUACGAAUCUCUUCGGUAUACCUCAAUACAAGACAAGCGCAGGAAAGGAUAAACAAUAAAAACCGGGCUAUCGCCCUAUCUAAGCAGCCUUCCCCUCUCCUCUACGGAAGUAAUCUUUAAAUCUAUUUCAGUUCCUGUGUCUGUCGCUAUCGCCCUAUUCUCUCUCAAUUGCCUAUCCUUUCUAGAUGAGGGGGAGUCCCUUAGCAGUAGCUUCCAACACUUAAGAUUGACCUCCUCAAGUGCCAGAUAUGAAUGUUUUCUGAAUUUCAUACGGGACUACUUACUUACCUAAAGUUCACUUUUGGCUUACCAAAAAAGUUGACUGAAGGAACUGACCUAAGCAUAGCUCUCUCUCUCAAAUACAAAUGUCAAGAAAGGGAUUCCUUGGAUAAGUGGAAAAAUGCUCAAAAAAUCCUUUCAUUUCUCUUUGAAGGCCUUUGUCCUACUUAUAGUAUCAGUCCUCCAGCCUAUACUUGUGUUUUUAUUAACCAAGAACACAUGCACUUUGUUGGCACUCAAAAAAAAGGUUAUUCAAUCCACUAGUGCAACUGAAGGUGCGCAGCCUCUUCUGAACCGGAACAAGAAAGAGCUCAUAACCACUGCUUGUGAACAGCUCUCCUCAACUUAAGGCGCACCUACUCUUACUAGAAGUCUAGUCUCUCUCAGGUCCAGUUUCGAUCUCUAACUAACUUACUUAAUAGGCCAGGCCGGCGGCCGGAAGAGAGAUAUUCAGAAAACCCGAUUUCCUGUCUUAAGAACCUGACUCAAAAGAGAAAAGAAGACCGGACUAAAAGAGAUCUCACUUUCGACGAUUGAACUUUACUUUUAUAUCCAGAUUGGAACUGGACUUAAACGUCUUUGGAUCCUGCUUAGGGCCGGCUUUCACUUUCAUAUCAGGAACGUCGACUUGCACUUGCAAUAUAGAAUUUGACUUUCCGGAAUCCUUGCUCCUGGCUUAUAUUCACAUAGGCCACUCAUAAGAAUAAGACGUUCAACUCCCUAAAACACGUGUAAUUGAGAGAGUCAUCAUAUCAGUGCCUUGGGGAAAUGCCUACCUUCAGGAGAAGAUUACCGAAUGAGUUUCAAACCUGUCCUCUUCGCUUCCCAAGAUAUUUAGGGAAAGGGGCGUUCAGCCACUUGACUCUAAGGAAAGGGGCCUUGUCGGCCACCGCUUGCUGACGACGGAACGCAUCGUCAAUUAAAAGGUCCUCGCCUUGGACUUAGUUGGAAAGGUAGGUGUUCGGCAUGUCCCUUGCUUGCGAACUUCUUUAGUAGGGCGGAGGUGCCAUUCCUCACGUUUACCGUUGUCCCCAGACUUCACUCUUUCAACACUUGUAUACUUUCUAAAGAGUCAGGCAUGCCCCUGUCCCUGUCUCCAAGUGUGAUCCACCGAUUCACUGAGUGACUUUUUCUUACCGCUGCGCUGGAGUCCCUAUCUCUUAAAGGGUUGGUGUGGCAGACUUCCCCCUUGUUUGCCGAUUGAGGAAAGCCUUAUAUGGCUUCAAACAAGCGAGAAAGGCCCUUUCUAUCUUAUUAGUCAAGCGCGCUAGCUGCAAUCAAAAAACAGCGCUAACGAGCAAGAAAGGGGAUGCGCUAAGGCGCAACGGCGUUCGCGCAGCAGCUGCGCCCUUGCUUCUUGCUUUCGAGCCGGAGCUUGCUGGGUAGUGAAGUGGUCCGUGAAGGUUAAAUAAGACUUGUGUUAAGCAAGCAGAGUAGUCAAGCCAAAAAAGCAAGAAGCGGUUUUCGUUCGAUCGACGGAAUCAAUCGUACUUUCACUGCUGUGGACCGGCUUUCAUAAAGCACCUUUGGGCAGCAGCUACUAUUGGGAUCCAAUUUCGAGAUCAAUUCGACAAUGAAACUCUUUAAGCAAUGAUCUUAUCUAUGUCAUUUCUCUUGACGCGAUACAAAAGACGACUUUCGAGAGUCACUUAGCCCCUUGACCUCUUUUCUCAAAAAAGACGCUGUGCGGGCAAGUCGAUCAAAGUCAGAGCGGGGAGGGAAUGUUUAUUUACAGUUGUUGUAGUACGACUUUUCAUUUCCUGUUCGGUCUUUCAAUAAGUAGUCAGCUGCGGGCGUAGUCAGACUUAACAUUGAUUGAAGCAGCUGUUGGAGAGAAGGCACCAGUCAGACCUGCAAGCACCGGGUAGUAUGCAGCGGCAGUUUUCAAUCAUACAAUGUUCUUAGUCUGACUUUUAGCGGUAGUCAGCUGUCCUCGUUCUCCUCUUUGAAUUGCCCUAUUGAGUCAGGGUCGGUGCUUGCAAAAAUGUCGAGCCGACGGGGUCAGGUACCAGUAGUUACAAUAGUAAAGGGGGGCUGGACACUAGUUGUGCGAGUGGAAUGACCCAACUGGACCUAGUCAGCCCGAACCGUUUUGCGGUUCUAGAGGACCCUGAACAAGAAGAGGCAAAGAUGCCAGAUCUGGACACUGCUGAACCGGAAGAGAUUGCUCAGGAUGAGUGUUUGGGUAACAAAGCCGAGGAGGGUGUAGUCAAGGAGAGAACUCCCGAGGAGAGUGAUUUGGCUCAUAGAAGCGAGGAUCUGGAAGAGAGGGUCAACUAUGGCAGUGACUGAGGGGGACUUGUUCUGUGAUAAACAAAUGACUUCAAACCUCAGGGCAUCCAAAAGAGGUGAACCUGAGAAGAGCAGUAAGAGUAAGCGUUCAAGUACUGGUGCUAUGACCUUAAAGGUGGAAGAUCCUCCCCUGGUUCGAAUCACCCUGAAUGAAGAGUGGGCGAACAAGAUGCAAAACAUAUCAUAAAUGUUGAAUUCUAAGAAAGAGGGGGGCCCCUUCCCGCGUAUGCGCCUUUAUUUAUAUUCUUUCUAUUUUUGAAUUAGGAGAAUCUUUCUAAAAAAAUCUCUCUGGCAAAACGCAAUUCGUCGAGUUCAAUUCAAGGUGCACCUUGCUUUUUUUUCAGGUAGCUUUUUCUUACGCCUAUUUAGCUAGUGGGGCAUUGGUCAUAGCCGAAAUUCGUCGAAGGGAUAAAACCAAAAUAAAGAAGAGAAAGAAAGGGAAGUUUUUUCUUUCUUUCAAUCCAAAUAAGAGAACAAAGAAAGCACUCAAAAAUGAAAGUUAGAAAAAGAAGUGUUAGUAAGAACUAGCACUAGACUUCUUCCCCCCUUUCUUUUCGACUUUUUCUCUCUCCUUUUGUUUGUGCUUCCACCCGGGCUUUUCAUUCUGUUUUAUAGAGACCCGAGGAAAUUCUAUAUAAUAAUAAAUGUAGAAAGGUGGGGGUGAGGUACUUUCCCCGGCAUACGGAAAGAAAAUCCAGGAUGACGGCUUUCAAAAGACGAGUAAGGGACGGGGAGAGGGCGACUGAAAAGGAGGCUCGACCCACAGGGAGAGGGAGGCUCUCGAAACCAAACGAGACUAGAAAGAACAUGGGAAUUAGCACCAUUCAUAUGAGUGCUUUUGUUUUGUCUCUUCGAGACAACAAAACAAAAGGACAGCCCUCUCUAUAUCUCGGUCUCGGUUUAGCAUCAUAUAUCGCUGAGCAUUUUUUUUUAGAAAGUCCGUAUAACUUCAAAAGAAUCAUUCUUUAUGAAUCAAGUACCAUUCAAACAAAGGGUGCAUUGCCUCUUUGAGUGAAGAAGAGAGGGGCUUUGUAUAGACACUCUUGAGCCAUGUUCGUCGCCCUAGGCUUACCAUUCUUUCAUUUCAUUCUAUUGAUUGGCUCUAGCUCCAAAGAACAUAUACAUGGAGCUAUGUCGACUUACGUACGUCUUGUUGACUAAACGAUCAGGUAUACCACGCCACGUAUCAUCCACUCGGCUCAAGCCGAGGAGAGAUAAAGAAAAAUCAAAGAUAUGGUGAUCGUGCCGUAAGACCUUGUUCCUUUCUACUUGACGUUCUUUAUUUUCCUCGGUUUUUACCCCACGGAGCGGUAGCUUGCUUACUUAGCGCUUGCGCUAAGGAUCUAAUCAGAGUCAAACUUGGAUUUGAAAAAAAAAAACCUUUCCCUUAUUAGCCGGAGUACAAGUGUACUCUUUUUUCUUUAGUAAAGGCGGAUUAAGCCAAAAAAUCUUUUUUUUUUCGAACAGUCUCAACGUCCUCGUUGAGAGUCGCUCUGCGAGACGUCUAGUAGUCUCUGACUUGGUCUUCGAAUCCUAAGUCUCAGCCCCUUCCCGGCUUGCCUCGCUCUCAGGUUGGCCUUUCUACUUGACUAAGUAGUAUUCCACUCGUGCAGUGGGUGUAUGGGCUAGCCCAUGGUGCGGUCAGCUAUGAUAUACUCAACUUCUUCUUUAGUAGGUUUAUCUACAACAUCUGGUGGUGCCCUCGUGGGCACGUUCCUCUCUGGGGCGGUCUGGUCUAAUCGAAGUCAACUGACUCACAUGGAAUACGGGGUUCGUUUUCACCGAGCUGGUCGCUUGAGUCUAUAGGCUACCUUUCCUAUCCGCUUUUCUACAAGGUCUACUUUCAGACCGGGCCAAGUCUUUAGGUUGUUUAAGUAGGUUUGGGCUAAGGUCGUUGCGCUCCUGCCACCUCUUGGCAAAGUAGGCUGAUGGGCAAGCCCCCUCCUGUCGCAAUGGUGUGGGGCGUCAGAGGCUGUUACCCCGUGGCCAACUCGAAGGGGCUGAAGUUCGACGCAGAGCUUUUUGGUUGUUAAGUUAUAGCAGGACUGAGCAACAUCCAACAGCUCCAGUCCUUCUGGUUUGCACUAAAGUGGCUUAAGUAGCCCUCGAGGAGUCCGUUUAUUCUCUCCGUCUGAGCUUUCAAAGAUAUACCGACCUACGGCAUCUGACCAUCAGAUGCCGUAGGUCGUCUUCUAACAUUACGGACAUUUCGGGUUUUCAUAAAUUUCACAUAAGAUAAAAGCUCUUUUCAUCAUCAGAAACAACCAGAUUUCCGACCUCUUGCAUUGCAUUACCAUAACGAAAAGAAAAAAGAAUGAAAAAAAAAAAGAGAUUGCGCUUGUGACUCGGGAUGAACCUUUAUCGGUGGAGGAAAGGAAUAGCGGUGGAUUCCUAUAGAGCAUCCAGGAAAAAGCAGAUUCAAUCGGACGACGAAUUCUUACGUGGUCCAAGGAAAUAAAAGGUCCGCUUCCACGAAUUUCAUCUAUAUUUAAUCUCUUAAUAUCAGAAUAGC
rnacentral:lncRNA from 1 species